CACGGAGUGGGACAUCUGACCGAACUCGACGUUAUGGCUUUUGCAUUUUAAUAUAACACCGUUAUGUAGACAAAUAGGUUUAUUAUUUGUUUACUUGUCGGCUAAAUGAUUCGAUUUGCGAUAAUCGUGUUUGUGCUGUUAACCGAUGUUCCGUUUUCAUUACAAGAGGAAGAUAAUGUAUUACACAUCGGCGGUAUAUUCCCAAUCGGCGGCAAAGGCGGAUGGCAAGGAGGUCAAGCCUGUGAGCCUGCGGUUAGGCUAGCUUUGGAAGAUGUGAACAAGAAUAGCAUUCUAUCCGGAUAUCAAUUGAAAUUGCAUUGGAAUGAUAGCGAGUGUGAUCCAGGACUUGGUGCAUCGGUCAUGUAUGAUCUCCUCUAUAACAAACCUCAAAAACUAAUGUUAUUAGCAGGAUGUAGUACUGUAUGCACAACUGUUGCUGAAGCCGCAAAAAUGUGGAAUUUAGUUGUAUUAUGUUAUGGUGCCAGUUCACCAGCAUUGUCAGAUAGAAAUCGUUUUCCCACACUGUUUAGAACGCAUCCUUCAGCUACUGUUCAUAGUCCAACUAGAAUCACAUUAAUGAAAAAGUUCGAAUGGUAUAGAAUAGCUAUUCUACAGCAAACCGAAGAAGUGUUUAUUUCUACAGUGGAGGAUAUCGAGACUCGAUGUAAACAAAAUGGCAUUGAAAUAAUUACUAGGCAAAGUUUUGUUAGUGAUCCAGCUGAUGCUGUUAAAAACUUGCGCAGACAAGACGCCAGGAUCAUUGUUGGCUUAUUUUACGUCGUUGCUGCUAGAAAAGUAUUAUGUGAGAUGUAUAAACAGCAGUUAUACGGAAAAGCUUAUGUGUGGUUUUUUAUUGGUUGGUAUAAAGACAACUGGUUUGAAGUAAAUUUGAAAGAAGAAGGAAUCCAAUGUACAAAACAAGAAAUGAGAAUUGCAGCUGAAGGUCAUAUUACCACCGAAGCUCUUAUGUGGAAUCAAAAUAUUAACCAAAAGACUAUUUCCGGAAUGACUUCUGAAGACUUUCGUAAGAGGCUAGAAAAUGUUUUAAGAUCAGGUGGUUAUGCAAUUGAUCGGCAUCGUUAUCCUGAAGGUUAUCAAGAAGCGCCCUUAGCAUACGAUGCUGUCUGGGCUGUAGCGUUGGCUUUUAAUAAAACAAUGAGUAUUCUGGAAAAACAAGGAAAAUCAAUUACCAGUUUUAAUUACAACAAUAAAGAAAUUGCUGAUCAUAUAUAUUCAGCCAUAAAUUCAACUCAGUUUCUUGGGAUAUCAGGCUGGGUAGCUUUCAGUUCACAAGGUGACCGUAUAGCAUUAACGCAGAUUGAACAAGUUAUUGAAGGAAAAUACGUUAAGCUUGGUUACUAUGACACACAGGCUGAUAAUUUAACAUGGUUCGAUAAGGAGAAAUGGAUAGGUGGAAAAGUUCCUCAAGACAGAACUGUGAUUCGCCGUGUAUUGCGCACGUUAUCGAUACCAUUAUUGAUAUGCAUGUGGGUAAUCACAACUAUUGGAAUACUUGGUGCAGUUAGCCUUAUUAUAUUUAAUGUUCUAAAUCAUCAUAGAAGGGUUAUCGCUCAAUCAUAUCCAGCUUGCAAUACAAUUAUGUUGUCCGGUUGCGUAUUGAGCUUGAGCAGUAUUUAUUUAUUUGGCUUGGACGGUCAAAUUAUAUCACCAGCGGUUUUUCCAAACAUAUGCCAAAUAAAAACUUGGGUGUUGUCAAUUGGAUUUACUUUAGGUUAUGGAGCUAUGUAUAGUAAGGUGUGGAGAGUGCACAGACUGCACACGAGUCAAAAGAAAAAUGCAAUUAGGAAAGCUUUGCAGCCGUGGAAAAUGUAUUCAAUUGUAAUAUUUUUACUGGCUGUCGAUGUUGCAAUUCUAUUCUUAUGGCAGUGUAUGGAUCCAUUGAAGCGUGAUAUACAAGUAUUUCCUAUGGAAAAUCCUUUAAAUAGCAACGAUGACGUAAAAAUAAGACCAGAACUAGAGCACUGUAAGAGUGAAAAUCACAAUUUUUGGCUAAGUCUAACAUUAAGCUACAAAGGAUUGCUUUUACUCUUCGGACUUUUUGUCUCGUAUGAAACCAGAAGUGUCAAAUUGAGACAAAUAAAUGAUUCGCGGUACGUCGGAAUGUCAAUUUACAAUGUGGUUGUUACGUGCUUGAUAACUACACCCGUGAUUAUGGUGACGGCAUCACAGCAAGAUGCUAGUUUCGCUUUUGUAGCGUUAUCUGUUAUUUUCUGUUGCUUCCUUUCAAUGGCCCUAAUAUUCGUACCAAAAGUGAUCGAAGUUAUUCGGGAUCCUCAUGAUAAACCGGAAUCUAAAUAUAACCCUGAUGCUGGAAUGUCAAAAGAAGACGAAGAUAAGUAUAAAAGACUUAUUGAAGAAAAUAAACAACUUGCAGCUAAAAUAAAAGAGAAAGAGGAGCGAUUAAAACAACUUAAGUCUGACCUAUUCAGUUUAAGGGGCGAUACUGAUAAGACUGCAGAGCUAAAAUGGAACGAUGAGUCGCAGUUAACCGAACACUCGUUCUUAUCGCAGUCGGUAAAUAAAGAUACUUUAAUUGUAGCUGAUUUCAUAACUGGCGAAGGUACAUCGGACUCAGCGUUCAUUGCUGAUUAAGAAUUUGGCGUAAAGUAGUUUUUGAAGAUCACUUUAUUUAUGUUUUAAAAUUGAAUUCAACGGGAAUCCUUUUAACGAAACUUUAUUUCAACAUCAUUGAUGAUUAUUGUUUCACCACAAUAAAUUAUCGAUUCUGGUAUACAAUUUCCACCGUUACAGCCUAUCAAGAAUUGACGAGAACAGUCAAAUGUAACCUACAGAAUGAGGAGCAGGACACCAUCGUUAACGCAUUAUUUGACUCUACAAUUAGACGAAAACGAAUUUUACAUAAUUUAAAUAAACACCAUCUGCUGUAAAAGUUAAUACAUUUUGGUUCAUGAUAUUUUGUUUUCAUUAAAAUUUUUUUUCAUGAUUAUUAAAUGGAUAACAUCUUACCUGUAUUUAGAGGGAUAAUGUAUUAAGUGUUAUUCAUUAGAUGUUUUGUUUUUUGAUAAAUGAGAAUUUUCUAAU
rnacentral:misc_RNA from 1 species